rnacentral:rRNA from 1 species
CACGUAGGGUGCGAGCGUUGUCCGGAAUUAUUGGGCGUAAAGAGCUCGUAGGCGGUGUGUCGCGUCGGCCGUGAAAACCUGCAGCUUAACUGUGGGCGUGCGGUCGAUACGGGCAUCACUGGAGUUCGGCAGGGGAGACUGGAAUUCCUGGUGUAGCGGUGAAAUGCGCAGAUAUCAGGAGGAACACCGGUGGCGAAGGCGGGUCUCUGGGCCGAUACUGACGCUGAGGAGCGAAAGCGUGGGGGAGCGAAACAGG